rnacentral:rRNA from 1 species
UACGAAGGGGGCUAGCGUUGCUCGGAAUUACUGGGCGUAAAGCGCACGUAGGUGGAUUGUUAAGUCGGGGGUGAAAUCCUGGAGCUCAACUCCAGAACUGCCUUCGAUACUGGCGAUCUCGAGUUCGGGAGAGGUGAGUGGAACUGCGAGUGUAGAGGUGAAAUUCGUAGAUAUUCGCAAGAACACCAGUGGCGAAGGCGGCUCACUGGCCCGAUACUGACGCUGAGGUGCGAAAGCGUGGGGAGCAAACAGG